rnacentral:rRNA from 1 species
CUGGAGGUAUCAGAAGUGAGAAUGCAGGAAUAAGUAGCGAGAAAGGGGGCGAGAAUCCCCCUCGCCGGAAGACCAAGGUUUUCAGGGUAAAGCUUGUCUUCCCUGAGUAAGCCGGGACCUAAGCCGAGGCUAAAAUGCGUAGGCGAAUGGAAAACAGAUUAAUAUUUCUGUGCCAGUUAUAUUUUGUGAUGGAGGGACGCAGAAGGGUAUGUGCGCGGGAGAACGGAAGUUCCCGUAAAAGCAUGUAGAGUGGUCUAGUAGGAAAAUCCGCUAGAUUAGACUUGAGGUGUGAUAUAUAGUCGUAAGAUGAAUGCACAAAUCCCACGCUGCCGAGAAAAGCUUCUAACGUUAAGGUAUAACUGCCCGUACCCGAAACCGACACAGGUGGUCAGGAUGAGAAAUCUAAGGCGGACAGGCUAACUCUCGUUAAGGAACUCUGCAAAAUUGCCCCGUAACUUUGGGAGAAGGGGUGCCCCUGGAUGUUAACAGCUACGCGCUGUAAAGCAUUUGGGGGUCGCAGUGAAGAGGCUCAAGCAACUGUUUAACAAAAACACAGGUCUAUGCUAAGCUGUAAGGCGAUGUAUAUGGGCUGACACCUGCCCAGUGCCGGAAGGUUAAGAGGAGGAGUGAGAGCUCCGAAUUGAAGCCCCGGU